rnacentral:rRNA from 1 species
GACGAACGCUGGCGGCGUGCUUAACACAUGCAAGUCGAACGAGUGGCGAACGGGUGAGUAAUACGUGAGUAACCUGCCCUCUUUUUGGGAUAAGCCUUGGAAACGGGGUCUAAUACCGGCUAAAGGGGGAUGGGCUCGCGGCCUAUCAGUUUGUUGGUGGGGUGAUGGCCUACCAAGGCGGUGACGGGUAGCCGGCCUGAGCGGGUGACCGGCAACAGUGGUACUGGGAGACGGCCCAGACUCGGACGGGAGGGAGCAGUGGGGGAUAUGGGCCAAUGGGCGAAAGCCUGAUGCAGCGACGCCGCGUGGGGGAUUAAGGCUUUCGGGUUGUAAAACUCUUUCGCUAUCGAAGGGGUAGGGGGAGAAGAAGCGCCGGCUAACUACGUGCCAGCAGCCGCGGUAAUAC